GAAACUCAAAUGAAUUGACGGGGACCCGCACAAGCGGUGGAUGAUGUGGAUUAAUUCGAUGCAACGCGAAAACCUUACCUACCCUUGACAUGUCUGGAACCUUGGUGAGAGCCGAGGGUGCCUUCGGGAGCCAGAACACAGGUGCUGCAUGGCUGUCGUCAGCUCGUGUCGUGAGAUGUUGGGUUAAGUCCCGCAACGAGCGCAACCCUUGUCACCAGUUGCCAUCAUUUGGUUGGGCACUCUAGUGAGACUGCCGGUGACAAACCGGAGGAAGGUGGGGAUGACGUCAAGUCCUCAUGGCCCUUAUGGGUGGGGCUACACACGUCAUACAAUGGCUGGUACAAAGGGUUGCCAACCCGCGAGGGGGAGCCAAUCCCAUAAAGCCAGUCGUAGUCCGGAUCGUAGUCUGCAACUCGACUACGUGAAGUCGGAAUCGCUAGUAAUCGUGGAUCAGAAUGUCACGGUGAAUACGUUCCCGGGUCUU
rnacentral:rRNA from 1 species